rnacentral:rRNA from 1 species
UAAGGAAUAUUGGUCAAUGGACGCAAGUCUGAACCAGCCAUGCCGCGUGAAGGAUGAAGGUCCUCUGGAUUGUAAACUUCUUUUAUCUGGGACGAAAACGGGAUUUUUAUCUCAAUUGACGGUACCAGAGGAAUAAGCACCGGCUAACUCCGUGCCAGCAGCCGCGGUAAUACGGAGGGUGCGAGCGUUAUCCGGAUUUACUGGGUUUAAAGGGUGCGUAGGUGGGCUUAUAAGUCAGUGGUGAAAUCUCCGAGCUUAACUUGGAAACUGCCGUUGAUACUAUAGGUCUUGAAUUAUCUGGAGGUAAGCGGAAUAUGUCAUAUAGCGGUGAAAUGCUUAGAUAUGACAUAGAACACCAAUUGCGAAGGCAGCUUACUACAUAUAAAUUGACGCUGAGGCACGAAAGCGUGGGGAUCAAACA